CAGCGAGGAGACGCUGGCCACGGCGCUCGCUCGGGCCGAGCAGCACGAGAGCCAGUUGAGAGAACAGAUCCACAAACUGUCCAGCACCCUCGGCGACCGCAGGACCAGCGGCGGAGCCCUGCAGGAGCAGCUCGCACAGCUGCAGAGGGCUGUGACUGCCAGCGAGCAGGACCGAAGGCUGCUGCAGGAACGCUUGGAUCAAACCCGAAAUGCCCUCUCCGAGAGGAAGAGGCUGAGCCACGCACUAACAGAGCAGACCCAGGACCUUCAAAGAGCCCGAGAGGACUUGGAGCUUAAAAACUCUGAGCUGGAGAAGCACAACAGGACCCUGAAGGAGAGCCUGAAGCAGCAGCAAGAUGCUGAAGCGCAGGCCCAGGAGAGCUCCCAGCAGCUGCACCGAGAGAAGGAAGAACUCCAGGAGCAGGUCACCCAUCUGCAGAGCUCUCUGCUACAGCUGCACAGCGAGAGGGCAGAGAUGGAGAGGGCGCUGGCGCGCCUCGGUAAAGACAAGUCAACACUCCGAAAGACACUGGAGAGGGUGGAGAUGGAGAGGCUGAGGAGGGAGGAGGCAGAGGCGGCGGCGGCCAGGGAGAAGGGUCAGUCGGGACGGACAGUCCGCUGCCUGGAACAGGAGCUGGCUGAAAAGCAGGCUGAGCUGCAGACUGUGCAGGCCCAAGCCUCCCAGCUGGAGCACGCUCACGCACAGCGCCUCCUGGAGGUGACGGCCCGCCAUCACCUCGAGUUGGAUGCGGAGACCGAGCGCCUGCGAGACAGCCAGUUUGAAGCAGAGCAGGCCCUGGAGACAAGGGAGAAGGCACAUCGGCAGAGGGUCAAAGGCCUGGAGGAGUGCUGACCCUGAGAGAGCAGCUGGAUCAGGAGACGACAAGACGACAGGCCUAUUUCAAUCAGAUGCUCCGUCGCGGUGUGUAAGUGGAGCCCCCGGCGUGGAGCACGCAGCGCCCCCGGCUCCCUCAUUCACUGCUCCUCUGGCAGCCCGCCAACAACGUCACGCGACGAGCCGCCUCCACAUUUGGAAACACACGCGUGCACAGCGGAUUAUGUUAAUCUGCGGGAAAACUCAACAACAACAAACAAUGGGUGUUUUGUUUAGAGGUGGACUGGAUGUGCCAGAUUGUUUUAAGGAUUUCCUCCGGCUCGCUGCAGUUGGCGUUUCUAAGUCUGUUUAUGCCGUGUCUUUUUUUUUUUUUUUGGAAACAUUGUGAGGAAAGAUUUCCUUAGUUGGUGCUUCAUUCUGCUCUAGUGAUUGUUCCUGCACUCAUUUGUCAUAUUGAUGCACCGAUUGUGAACGUCACGUAAUAACUGCUUGUGUACACUAAUGACAAUGUCUCUCCAAAUAUUUACAAUAAUUGUUUGCAGAUUUUCCCGUCGCUGUGGCGAGUGUCUCAUACGGAUUCCAUAGUGCAGUGCAGUUGUUUUUACCCUUUUUUUAAUAUCAUGUGUGCGAGAGCUUUGAUUGUUUUUAAUAAACUGGGUGUAUCACAA
ensembl:lncRNA